UGCACGGUGGCGCAGUUGGUAGCGCUGUUGCCUUGCAGCAAGAAAAAAAUAUCAAGCAGGUCCUGGGUUCAACUCCCGGCUGGGGUCUUUCUGCAU